UGGGGAAUAUUGCACAAUGGGCGCAAGCCUGAUGCAGCCAUGCCGCGUGUGUGAAGAAGGCCUUCGGGUUGUAAAGCACUUUCAGCGGGGAGGAAGGCGUUAAGGUUAAUAACCUUGGCGAUUGACGUUACCCGCAGAAGAAGCACCGGCUAACUCCGUGCCAGCAGCCGCGGUAAUACGGAGGGUGCAAGCGUUAAUCGGAAUUACUGGGCGUAAAGCGCACGCAGGCGGUCUGUCAAGUCGGAUGUGAAAUCCCCGGGCUCAACCUGGGAACUGCAUUCGAAACGGGCAGGCUAGAGUCUUGUAGAGGGGGGUAGAAUUCCAGGUGUAGCGGUGAAAUGCGUAGAGAUCUGGAGGAAUACCGGUGGCGAAGGCGGCCCCCUGGACAAAGACUGACGCUCAGGUGCGAAAGCGUGGGGAGCAAACAGG
rnacentral:rRNA from 1 species